UACGAAGGGGGCUAGCGUUGCUCGGAAUCACUGGGCGUAAAGCGCACGUAGGCGGAUUGCUAAGUCAGGGGUGAAAGCCUGUGGCUCAACCACAGAAUUGCCUUCGAUACUGUAGAGCUUGAGACCGGAAGAGGUAAGUGGAACUGCGAGUGUAGAGGUGAAAUUCGUAGAUAUUCGCAAGAACACCAGUGGCGAAGGCGGCUUACUGGUCCGGUUCUGACGCUGAGGCGCGAAAGCGUGGGGAGCAAACAGG
rnacentral:rRNA from 1 species